CUGUCUAGUGGGUCUAGAUGACCCAACUCCCAAUGUUAAAGUGCCUAGGAUAGCACAAGGGUUAAUUUCAUAUCAAGCUACAUUUGCUGUGUCUUUGAAAUGGAAAAUCACAAAAGAGAGAAAUCCUCAAACAAGGUCCAAAGUUAAAGUUCCACUGGUUAAAAGGUGACAGUGCUGUAUAGACAUUCUUAUAGGAGACUGUUUAUCACAUACAUCAGUUGUUUAUAAUCUCUGGACAUUUUUAAAGGUUUUUGUUUGAAAUGUGCGUAAUUUAUUAUGUGUUAUUCUUGUUUAACUUUUACAAAAGGGCCACAGAUUGUUUUGAGGCACAAGUCCAGAUCACAAUGAAGCUUUGUGUUUACAUUUUUACCAAAAACUAAAAUGAAAACUGAAGGUGGAAUGCAAAAGGCACUUCUUCGCAAACAAAUUGCACAUCUUUGACUGCAUUUCAAGCUGUGGUGCACUUCAUUUUUUCAAGCCCAAACAAACUCCUAUUAAAUAAAACAAUAAUUCAUGUAAGUCUAUUGAAAGCUAUUGCUGAGGAAGACUUUUGGUCAGAAAGGCAGCAGGGGUUUGUUUUUUUUAGUGGACUGUGAUGUCAUUUCCAAUGAUGCUGAACUGGAUCGAGCGCAGACGGAGAGGAGCACAGCGGGCUGCUGGGAGGAUGUGAUGCACAACGGGACUGCAGAAGAGGGACUGGCAUUUUCUCUCAAGGAGGUCUGAUGACAUCUUCGCUCCAUCCAAUAAGCUGGGACACACUUCAUGUUGAAAAUCGGAAGUGAAUCUGGACGUUUUGUGGAUGUUUGAGUCUAGAGAAGAACAAAGAUCUCAACCUCUUUGCCUGCAGUCCUGGUGAAAAACCUGAUGCAACCGUUUAGACGGGGCUCUUCUCUGAUGUCCUGUCUCUUUCUUUUUGACAAAUGUUGCCUGUGUAAAUAUUUUCAUGCCAUGUCUUGCCGCUGUUAGAGACGAGGAACAGGUUGAGUCUGGUUUUUUAAUAUUUUGACUUUGUGGUUGCCCAGCACUCUUGGAAUAUCUAAAGUGGAAUUCUAGUUUUCUACUCACUGAUUUCUGUUUACUACAUUUUAUAGGGGAAAAAAGGGAUUUAUACAGUCUUUUUACAAUAUAAGAUUUUAUUUAUAAUGCAGUUCACAUUUUGAUAAAACCUCGUCUCAUAAAAAUCAUUGAGCUUUACAUCUACAAAUAUGAAUUCUAUUAUAUAUAAAUAUUAGAAAUGGAAUGAUUAAUGCUUUAUCUUUGCUCUGUGAGGAUGUGAUAACGUCUGUGUCGACUGCAGACCUUUAUUUUCUGUGUGGACACACUAUGGGCUGUGUGGCGUGUUCCCAGCUGGUUGAUAUGUGGGCAGUGAGGGCCAGACGGACAGGUCGCAGGGCCAUGGAGCUGGCCACCUACCCCCACAUGCUGCAAGGGGGGUACCACAGAGUGACAGGCCUGCACUACAUGUCCUCCUUCUCUGACACUGAGGACUGCUGCGACGACACCAGCUCAGGCAGCUCGCUGACACUGGAUUGGGAGAGACAAGCUCCUGAUGGCUGACGCCUAGCCGAGAAAUAAUGCACACGUGGGGCAUGUCAUGAUGCAGUGUCUUGGAAAUGCCAAGUCGCUUUGAGGAAAGUUCGGUAAACGAUCCCUUACCAAUAAAUUUUAAACUAUGUAGUAUGUGUAGAAGUUCCAGUAAUACCAAAUACAGAAUAUGCAGGAAAUAUUGUGAAACAGUAAGGAAAUAUUUAGCAUUCAGACUUUUGUUUUGAAAUAUAAUUUAAAUGUGUUGGUUUCUUUUUUUUAUGCUUCAAAGUAAAGCUUCACCUAAAUCAUUAAUCUGGAGUUUUUGAUUUCUUUGGGGAUUAGUGGUUAAAUGUAGGUCAAAAACAUAAUUACAUGCUUAAAUCCCUGUUGCUUUAUUGUGCAAAAUCCAAAAAAGUGCAAUAAUUGCUCUUGACAUGUGAUGACUACCUCCAGGUUGUGUUUGAAUCCAACACUUCUUUUGUGUUUUCAUAAUCUCUAAUUGAGUGGAAUAAUAACAGAUUGAGUCACUGUACUAGAGCAACGCAUCACAGCUUCUCUGCUGGCGACGGUGGAAAUUUUCGUGUUUUGAAAUAAACUUGCGACCCAAAUUA